rnacentral:rRNA from 1 species
GACGAACGCUGGCGGCGUGCUUAACACAUGCAAGUCGAACGGAAAGGCCCUGCUUGCAGGGUACUCGAGUGGCGAACGGGUGAGUAACACGUGGGUGAUCUGCCCUGCACUUCGGGAUAAGCCUGGGAAACUGGGUCUAAUACCGGAUAGGAGCCAUUUUUAGUGUGAUGGUUGGAAAGUUUUUUCGGUGUAGGAUGAGCUCGCGGCCUAUCAGCUUGUUGGUGGGGUAAUGGCCUACCAAGGCGGCGACGGGUAGCCGGCCUGAGAGGGUGGACGGCCACAUAGGGACUGAGAUACGGCACAGACACCUACGCGAGGCAGAAGUGGGGAAUAUUGAACAAUGGGCGCAAGCCUGAUGAAGAGACGCCGCGUGGGGGAUGACGGCCUUAGGGUUGUAAAAUCAUUUCGCUAGGGACGAAGCUUUUUGUGACGGUACCUAGAUAAGAAGCCCCGGCUAACUACGUG